UACGUAGGGUGCAAGCGUUUAAUCGGAAUUACUGGGCGUAAAGCGUGCGCAGGCGGUGAUGUAAGACAGUUGUGAAAUCCCCCGGGCUCAACCUGGGAACUGCAUCUGUGACUGCAUCGCUGGAGUACGGGUAGAGGGGGAUGGAAUUCCGCGUGUAGCAGUGAAAUGCGUAGAUAUGCGGAGGAACACCGAUGGCGAAGGCAAUCCCCUGGACCUGUACUGACGCUCAUGCACGAAAGGCGUGGGGAGCAAACAGG
rnacentral:rRNA from 1 species